rnacentral:lncRNA from 1 species
AUGGAAUACUAUUUGGAUAUAACCAGUUCUUCUCUCCUGGUUUUAGUCAGAACUUUUGAAGCAUGUCGUGAAGAUAAUGUUUUUGAAGAACAAAUUGAAAAAUGGAAGAAACUGGUUUUUAUUAUUCGCAUUAUUAUUGGAUUUUUGUCGAAUUUUAUAAUUCUUACAACUAUAUGUGUUAUUAAUGCAGAUAACUUCAUAAAGGGCGUGGCAGCUAUAGUUCUAUUUUCUGUUAUCCUUGUGCAUAUGUUGCUGUUAUAUGGUACCGAAACUUACUUAUGCUACAGUUUAAAGGAGUAUUCUGACAUCGACGCAACUGUCAUCGAGUUUAUACUUGUUUACCGAGUACAAGAAACUGUUUUUGAUAUUUUGAUAAUUUUUUAUAGUCUCGUUUUAUCUGAAUGGAGUAUGACAGAGUUAACGACAACUUUGAUUGUACUCAUGUGUACUGAUAUUGUUUCAAAUAUUGUUCAAUACGGGAAAAACUUGUAUGAUGCAGUUAUGAUGAUGGAGGAAGAUGAAGAUGUAGAUGAAAACAAUGGCCAGUGUGCAUGCUUAUUACUGUUUUCAUUUUGUCCAUUUUGUGUAAUUUGUUUGAUGCAAUGAUAAUUGAUAGUAAUUAUAAAAAUUAAUUUCCAUACUUUUCGAACCAACCAAGAUGUCUAACAUUAACAUAAUUAAUAUUUACUACACCUACAGAAAUAACAUUUUUGAUUUAUUGAUGUUUGAUUGCAUAAAGAAGAGUGGCAAACACAGCUUACUUAUAAUUAAAGGACGAUAAAAAGUCGACAAUACAUUCAAAAGGUAACUUUUGCAGUGCUGUCUAAUCAUUAUGAAGGACGAUCGGUUUUGAAGCCACUACAAAAAGAAUGACUGUAGGAUAUAAAAUGGGCAUAUUUUUUAUUGCAAUAUAAUGUCUACAGAUGUUGCAAGUAAAAAUGCUGAUCAUUGUGGAAAAUCGUAUGGUGACCUAUAGUUUUCUGUGUCAUUUGGUCUUUUGUGAAGAGUUGUCUCAUUGACAAUCAUACCACACCUUCUUUUUUUAUAUAUCAUCAUAGAUACCAGGAUUGAAAUUUUGUAUUUGCGCUAGACGCGUGUUUUGUCUACAAAAGACUCACCAGUGACGCUUAAAGAAAAGUACAAACCCCAAAUAAAGUACGAAGUUAUAGCGCAUUGAGGACCAAAAAUUCCUAAAAGAUUUGUCAAAUACGGCUAAGGUUAUCUAUUCCUGAGGUAUUCAAACCUUAAAUAUUUAAAAAUAUAAAGUUUUGUAAACCGUUGAUUUACAAUUAUGACCAGAUCAUUGGUAAUUCAUGUCAACAGGAAUAUUGCCGGGUCUACAUUUUCUAAUAGGAAGAAGGGGGAUAUAUUUUCAAAUAAUUGCAUAUUGACGCCCUUCCAGCAUGGUCUUUACUGAAAGACGGGAGAUAUGAAGGAAAACCUUGAGGGGACUUAUGAGAAAUGUAUGUUUUGGAAAUAAUACUAAACAUACAUCAUGUUUGACUAUAAAACUAGGCGUUUUUAGCUACUUUCAUUAGUAAAGUAUAACAGCAGAACAUUAUCACACAAAAGUGUUCUGUUGCUAUAUCCUAUAAAUGAACAGUCUCUUUAACAGUUGCAUUACACCAUGCCGUGCUGAAUGUUCGGAUAAUGAGAAAACGGUCAUCAAAGAAGGGUUCUUUGUCUUCAUUUGCUUCAAUAACAGUGUUGUAAGCCAUAUGAACGACUGAUGGAAAGUUCUAAAUAUGUUUGUACUUUUUUAUGAUUUACUUACUCAAUGGCAAUCAUAC